CUUUGUAUUUUUCCACAGCUUUCUUGAACUGCAUAUAUUUGAAAACUCACACCAUAUAUAACCAAUUAUUAUUAUUGGAGGUGAAAAUAAAAUAAAAAAUUGUUGCGGUUCAAUAAGGCUGUGGGAAGAUACAGAUAGU
rnacentral:pre_miRNA from 1 species